rnacentral:tRNA from 1 species
AAAGUGGUGUAGUGGAAGCACCAAGAGUUUUGAUCUCUUGAGGAUGGGUUCGAGCCCCUUCUCUCUAGAAUUGAGGGG